AAUAAAACAGAAGGCAGGAUUGUUCGGAGAUGCCGGAUGGCAGCCAUGAGAAAGACCCCACUGGUCUGAGAGGUCUGUGCAGGAAUGCACGGAGCCUGGGAAACACAGAGAGGUAUGGGGCCUGAGGGUGAGGACGCAGGACAGGUUAGGGACGGGUGGCGCUGGGUGCUGGCUCUGGCAGAGAGCAAGCCAACUGGGGGCAUUUCUUUCCAGCCCCGUGGCUGAUGGUCUCGCCGUGCGUGAUGGUGAAUUUUAUGUGUCGCCUUGAUGGGACCUUGGGGGUGCUCAGACAUUUGGUCAAGCCUCUGUGUUUGCGAGGAUGUUUCUGGAUGGGACUAGCAUUCAAAUCUGCAGACCGAGGCAAGCAGAGUGUCCUCCCCGCAGAAGGUGGGCCUCACCUCAUCCAUCAGGGGCCUGAAUAGAAUAAAAAGUUGAAGAGGAGAGAAUUAUUUGCCUCUGCCUGUCUUCAAGGUGGAACCAUAGGUCUUCUCCUGCCUUUGGACUUAGACUCAGCAGAAAGAGCACCUCCCCUGGCCAAUGCUUUUGGCAGGAUUCCAGAAUGUGCACUCCUGGAGCCCUGGACCACGGCUGGCUUGGUUCCAGCCCAUCUGUGACCAUCUCUCCUAGGAUGCUGGGAUGUUCUGUGGGGCCAAGCUAGGGCUACUUGCCUACUUCUGCUGCAAGGGAGGGGUCAGCCCCAUGGGAACCAUAAGUGUGGGGAUUGGGGCAGCCUGAUUCUCUAGGAAGAACUGCUGCCCUCUUUCUAGGAAAAAGGAGAAGGGAUUUCAGGCAGCCCAAGCUAACAGAGGCCUGCUGUGCACUUGUGUGUUCUGAGCACUGGCUAGGAAGUGCAGGGCUUCCAAGAAGACCUAAAAUUCAUGAGAACCAAGACAAGGCAGUGAAGGUGUGAUCCUGAUAAAAGGUGACCAAGACAAGGCAGUGAACGUGUCAUCCUGAUAAAAGCCAUCCCAUUUUCCACAGGGGCCGCACCGUUUUACAUCCCCACCCACAGUGUGCAAGGGUUCCAGUUUCUCCAUGGCCUCGCUGACACUUGUUAUUCUCCACCUCGUUGACAGUAGCCAUCCUGAGGAGUGUGAGGUGGUGCUGUGUGUUAUUCUCCACCUCAUUGACAGUAGCCAUCCUGAGGAGUGUGAGGUGGUGCUGUGUGUUAUUCUCCACCUCAUUGACAGUAGCCAUCCUGAGGAGUGUGAGGUGGUGCUGUGUGUUAUUCUCCACCUCGUUGACAGUAGCCAUCCUGAGGAGUGUGAGGUGGUGCUGUGUGUUACUUUUACUUGUCUCCAUGCAGCUAAGGGCACGCCAGUGCACGCCUAAUGCAGGCGGGGUGACACCUGCACAGUUCCAUCUGCUGCUUCACGACGUGUUGCUAACUCAGUCGCCGACCACUGGACUCUGGGCUGCUCCAUUCCUAACUUCCACAGUGUUGAUGGAUACCGAUGCAAGCCCUUCUGGGGAAGACACAGUGAGAGCCUCUCUCAGCCAUGCAUUCCUCAGCCUGACUGCAAGGUCGCAGCCCCCUACAAAGCCCAGUCUGAGUGCUUCCCAGGCUGCCAUGUGCCAGGUCUCCCUCCCACGGCUGUCCUGGAAGGCUCUGCUUUGCACCAACUUGCCAGCACUUGGCAUUAGUCAACCCUCUAGCUUUUACCAAUCUGAUGGGUGUAAAGGGAAUUCCUGCGUUUUACUUUGCAUUUCUCUGAUUCCUGUGGGUUUGAGCAGCUCUUCAUUGAAUUGUGUGUCAUUUGCACUUUCCCUUCUGGGAAUUGUCUGUUGGGGUUGGCUUUCUGUCAACUUAAACAGGAGCAAACUUGGUUACUUUUAAUUAAAAGCAGGCUCGUGGCAGCAGGGGAGUUUUACAUGCAUAGGAAGGUCAGGUCCAGCCCUGCCCAUCUUCGUGCAUACUCUCUCUUUGGUCACUGCUGUGCGGCAUGGUGAGCUUGGCACCUGGCCUUCAGAAUGCAGCCACAGAAGGGAGUUCAUGGGCUAGGCAUUCUGCUAAGGGACACAGCUGUCUCUGGCUCCUGCAUCCAAUUACUGGACUCUCUGCUUCAUUGCUCUGGUGGAGCUGCCAGCCUGAGUCUCCACAUGUUCUUUCAACACUCCCUUGGUGGCCAGCCCAGUGUGCUUUUAAUCAUUGACAAGCAAGAGGAUGCCACAGAGAAGGAUGUUGGCUGCUGUUCAGGCAUUUGGGGACUGGCAGGGAGGGCUGCUGUCCACGACGGAGGAUGCCACAAGUGGAUUCAAGACUGAGUUUUUUGUUUUUCUAUCCAUCAACUCAAGCAUUUGUUAUUUUGUUUGUGUUACACAUAGUCCAAUUAUACUCUUUUAGCUAUUUUUAAAUGUACAAUAAAUUUUUAUUGAUUCUAGUCACCCUGUUGUGCUAUCAAAUGCUAGAUCUUAUUCAUUCUAAUUAUAUUUUUGUACCCAUUAGCCAUCCCCUUUCUCUCCUUCCCACCCCCCAACUACCCUUUGCAGCAUCUGGUAACCAUCAUUCUACUCUCUAUCUCCAUGAGUUCAAUUGUUUUCGUUUUUAGCUCCCACAAAUAACUGAGAACAUUUGAAGUUUGUCUUUCUGUGCCUGGCUAAUUUCGCUUAACAUAAUGACCUCCAGUUCCAUCCAUGCUGUUGCAAAUGGCAGGAUCUCAUUAUUUUUAUGACUGAAUAGUACUCCACUGUGUAAACGCACUGCAUUUUCUUUAUCCGUUCCUCUGUCAAUGGACACUUAGGUUGCUCCCAAAUCUUGGCUUUUGUGAACAGUGUUGCAAUAAACAUGGCAGUACAAAUAUCUUUUCGAUAUACUAAUAUCCAUUCUUUGGGGUAUAUACCUAGUAAUGGGAAUGCUGGAUCAUAUAGCAGCUCUAUUUUUAGUUUUUUGAGACACCACCAAACUGUUCUUCACAGUGGCUGUACUAAUUUACUUUUCCACCAAUAGUGUACGAGAGUUCCCUA
rnacentral:lncRNA from 1 species